AGCCAUCCGUGGCGACACGCGGAACAGGGCAACAGAAAGCAAACCGCCGAUGGCCCGGCGCAAGCCGGGAUCAGGCAAGGGUGAAACGGUGCGGUAAGAGCGCACCGCGGCUGCGGCGACGCAGACCGGCACGGUAACCUCCACCCGGAGCAAUUCCAAGUAGGCAGGCGCGCAUCUUCGCGAUGCAGGACGGGGCCCCCGUCUCGUCUGCGGGUAGGAAGCUUGAGCGCGUCAGCAAUGGCGCGCCUAGAGGAAUGGCUGCCACGCGUGAGGCAUCUUCGGGCGCAUCGCGUGCACAGAAUCCGGCUUA
rnacentral:misc_RNA from 1 species